GAUACUUUCAGACACACAGAAGAGAGAACCUGUCACUAGCAGGUCUUCACUCAAGAAAGUCCUCUGGGAUAUUGCUUUAAACAAAAGGAAAAGGAUCAGGCCUCAGAUGCGGGAAGGAAAUUACAAAGAUCGCUUUGGUUCCUGCUCACCAGAAUUUUAUCAGCCAUCUGCUGGAUCUGUUGGGAUUUUGUCUGGAUGUCAUCCUUCAGUCUGUUUUCUCUACGCUCCAUGGUCUCUAGCCUCUUUACCUUGUUCUCCAGAGAAUGGCGGCGUUCCUGUAGAUCAUGAAUCAAUCAGAGAGUUUUAAUGGAGUAACUGCUAUGGGCACAGCGCCUGCACCGAGGGAGAGCGGCCUCGGCCUCGAGAAGCAUACGCGCAAGGCAGGAAGAGAAGUCUCGGCACCCGGAGCAGUGGUGAGGAAAGCUCUGGGACAAGGCAAAGAAAAGUAUUUGGAAAUGAAGAGUAAGUUCUCCAAAAAAAAAAAUCACCUCAGGCUUACCUUUUCCAGCUUCUCUUGGAGCUCCUGAAUUUUGAGCUGUUGCUCAGCA